GACCAGAGUUCGAUCCCUGGUACCAAAAAAAAAAAAGUUAAGGGUUGGGCUCACCUUCCAAUAUAGACUAGGCUCCAAAAAUAGCUUCUACUGAUACUCAUUUUUAGGGGAAAAGAAAGAAGAUGUAACAGGUGAGCCUCUCUUAUAUGGCAGGUUAUUUGUGUCACUUUCAUUUCUCACACCCUAUAGGUAGGCCUUAUUCUUUUUUACUUCUCAGUGGGAAUUAAAGAAGCUGGUAUUUUGCCCCGGGGGGACAAAACUGGAAUUUGAACUCAGAGUCUCAAGAGUUGAAAGUUUGAUAUAGCAUCUUUUACCUGCUUCUCUUAAAAAUAAUCAUCUAACACUGAAAUAUAAACUUCGUCUCCAAAACUGGUUUUGAUACUGAUUUCCAGUCUAGAUAGAACUGAAACUAGUACUUACUUUUUUCACCUAAACUAACUUGAAAACCAGACUCUCAGCAGUUUUUAGACACCAGUCACUGAGCAGUGCAGGGCAGUGAUCCCUGAAACAAGGGGCACAAAUGAGCUGAAUCCUACUAUUGCUCCAGCCAGUGCCAGGAGAGAGCUUCCAAAUGGCAGCUCGAGGAGUAAGAGUAUGACAAUAAAAAUAAGAAGAGUGGGAAAUUGAAACUGCCAAAGAUAAGAAAUUCAGAUGCUGUACAAGAAAUGGCUGUCAGCGUAGUUGAAGGGAAAGUCAAGGUGGCCUCCUGCAACGAGUGUGCUCAGAUGAGUUGCACCAGGUGAGCUGCUGGGACCAGCUGGCCACAGAGCCAUCUCAACACUGG
ensembl:lncRNA